ensembl:lncRNA ASMER1 adipocyte associated metabolic related lncRNA 1
AUGUGGAUAUCAAACCAUCUUAAUUUUUGCUGUGCUUAUCCAGCUGAUGGGACCAGCCUCUCCUACUGACUUUGGAAGCAGCUUUGACUCCUGCCCCUGCCACGAGAACACACCCUUUCCAGUUUGCUGGAGAAAUAUAAGAGAAGUCCAGUGAAAGAGAGCUGAGUUUCCCCAAUGAUGCCAUCAAGAUGAACUAACUACAGUUAACCAGCCAGCUGAUAGCAGAUGCAUGAGUGAGCCCAGCUGAGAGCAGGUUGUGCAAGCAUGGCACGUGCAUCUGUUUGGCUUGUGGUGAGGCCUCAGGAAGCUUACAGUCAUGGUGGAAGGCAAAGAGGGAGCCAGUACAUCACGUGAACUCGUAGAGUGAGAACUCAUUCACUACCAUGAAGACAACACCAAGCCAUUCCUGAGUGCCUACAAUAGUUCCUGGUAUGUAGAAGGUAUACAAUAAAUAUUGGCGGAGUGAAGGAACAAAUGGGAUUUGCUUGAUUCUGCUGCAGAAGACUAAGAAAAAGACAUAAAUGAAUAAAUAACUAGUAGAAUGUUAACACAAUCAGAAAAAGGACCAUUUCUUUUCAUUUGGAUGUCUCAAAUCUAUUUGUUGUUUUUGUUGUUGUUGUUUUUCUGGCUGGGCUUGAAAUGUAGGCAUGCAGCCAGGAGGCUCCAUGCUGACUAAUGAGAUAGAGGUACCCAUUUAGCCCAGCAAUAUUCAUACAUUGUAUAUGCAUUCAUUUUUCUCUAGUGACUUUUUAAUAUAUUUUGGUGAAGAUAUUCCCAAGAUAAUGAAGAUAUGUUGAGUGGGCAUUAAAAGUGAUGAGUCUUUUUUUCCAUUAUCAAAGACAAAUACAGGUGUGUGAUGUAUGCAGAGAAUUAGAAGUAGGGAAAAAAAUGAGGGAAUCCAAAAUAAUGAAAAGAAAUUAAAGCUCUCCAAUAAUCGAAAGAAAGGCCAAACUGAAAACAUAAAUCUCCAGACUCUGCAAGGAUUUAUACUGAUGUGGGGCAUGUGGACCAAUGGCUUUCAGGAUGUGAUUCAUUUUGAAAAAAGUGUCAUUUCCAUUGCCAAGUAGAGUUCAUGGUUUAGUGAAAAUUUCAUCUUCAGUCUGAUCACAUGAGCCAAAUUCUGGCCCUAUAUAUUCUGAUGUGAGGAAUGAAGUAUUUCUAGUUUAUUUGUGAGAUUCCAAGCAUAAUAUCCAGGAGGGUUAGUCACAUUACAGCUAAGGUAAGAUUUUGUUAUAUUUGUGUUAGUCCUUAUUCUAGGCACUGAAAUUUCCUUGUAACAUUACUUGAAAAAGCAUAAGAACUAUUUAAUGAAAGAAUGCUUUGGCUCUGCCCAAAUGACCAAGAAAGACAUCAACUCACUUAUAACACAGUCUUGAUGGUCAGACCAAAAGGUACGUGAUUGUCAAUUAUUUUCAGCAGAGACUCAUAGAACAACAAAGCAGGGAAGAAUCUGAACAGGGAUUGGACUUUAAAGAACAAGUAUCAUUGAUCAAUUAAAAAAAAUGGUCAUGGGCUGGGCACAGUGGCUCACACCUAUAAUCCCAGCACUUUGGGAGGCCGAGGUGAGAGGAUUGCUUGAGUCCAGGAGAGACCAGCCUGGGCAAUAUAGUGAGACCCCAUCUCUACAAAAUUUUUUAAAAUUAGCUGAGCAUGGUGGCAGAUGCUUAUAGUUCCAGCUAAUUGGGAGAAUGAGGUAGGAGAAUCACUUGAGGUUGGGUGGUGGAGGUUGCACUGAGCUGAGAUCACUCCACUGCAUGCCAGCCUGGGAGAUAGAGCAAGACCUUGUCUCAAAAAAAAAA